rnacentral:lncRNA from 1 species
CAAGUUGCCCUUUCCUUAUUCAAGAAGCCAUAUCUCAAGCUGCCAUAAUUGAAGAGCCAAAGAAGGAAAGUAUUUUGAAAUUCAAAUCUCCAAGAUUCACAUUCAGAUAUUGGAUUUCAAGAUCCCACUCAUUAAGGAAGCCAAAUCUCAAGAUCACAUGUUCCCCAUUUUAUGCCAUGCACAUUCAAGUUUCCAUAAAAGGCUCCACCUUCCUCUUUAGUGAAUGGGCACACUCCAAAAACGUGGGCAGCCUCUUGGACACACCUUGGGCAGUAUCUUGAAGAUCUUGGACAGCAAUUAAAAGACUAAAGAGCCCCCACUUGCAUGCUCCACGUUUUUGCCUUCACCCAUACACAAAGAAGGCACAUAACUCACCAAGGGCACUUUGGGAAGUCUCCAAAAGACUCAUGGAUACUAAAAAGGAAAUAGGCAGCCUCUCAACACCUAUUUAAAGGCCUCAAGAACACAAGAAGAGGCACAAUUCAACUCUCCAAAUUCGGCCAAGCAAGGGCAGCCACACUCCAAGGGGCUUCUCCCCUCAAUUUCGGUUCUUCUUUCUUCUUUUCUUUAAUUUUCUGUUUUGGUUCAGCCAUGAGUGGCUGAAACCUUUAUUCUAGUUGAAGUUUGGUUGAAACUAAGGUUGUUUAAAGGGUUGUGAGAUCUGAACAUAAAGUGUUUGCUUUUGAUUUAUUCAAUAUUCAUGCAAUUGUGCUUAAUUAUAAAGAUUGCUUUGUUGUUUUGAUCAAAUUGGCCACUUGAUUCUUGAUUGCAAAGUUAAUUGAUUGUUGAUUAGGAUAUUUGUUAGUCCGUAAUUGCUGGAAAUAUUCUGAUCUAAGAACACUUGGUGUAAAAACCAAGAAAUUGCAUGAUCUAGCAACAUCUCAUGCGUUUGAGUAGUGAGGGUUUGGAUCUUUCUUGUUCUUCAUGCAAUUGGAAAUUGUUUUGAUGCCUAUGGCCCAAGGACGUUCCUUGGCAAUUUGUUGAUUAGUAAUUGGUUAGAGGACGUUCCCUAUUCAAUUUGUUCAUAAGGAAAGACAUGGUGGUGAGAAGCGUCUUCCACCCCCAUAACCAACCUAUUGAAUCAAUCAAGGUAACCAUGUUUCAAUGAUCAACCCAAACAACCAAAGUGGAUCCAUAUCUUCAACUAGACCUUUCUCUUAUUGAUUUCCUCUUUUAUUUUUAUUACUUGCUGUUUUAAUUACUUUUAUUAGUUGUUAAUCAAAUCAUCUCAAAACCCCCCUUUUUACUUUCCUUGCACUUUACUUUUGUUCUAUCUGCGAUCACUUGCUUUCACUUGUGCUUUCAAUUGGUUUGAUUGGUCUUGAUUAAGAUAAAUAAAUAGGUAAUCAAUUUUCUGUGGAUACGAUCCUUCACCACUGUCUACAGUUGUAUUUGUAGGUAACCAAGAAGGUUAUUUUUGACCUGCUUCGACAACCGCUCCUGUCAAAAAUUGGCGCCGCUGCCGGGGAAUUGAUCUAACUUAUUUGUUUUUCUUUUAGGACCAAAUAAAAAUAAAAAAAAAAAUAAAAAAAUUCACCAAAGGCACGGUCACCAUCGCAGAUCUGAAUCAUGGCUAAGGUAAGUACAUCUGUUCACUGUUCUCAACUUUCUAAACUAAUCUCUGCUGUGAGAAUUCUUGUUAUAAGCCAAGCUGAACAAGCCCAACCAAAACCUCAAGGUUUCAAUACUGAUCUUUAUGAGAAAUUAAAGGCUCUGCAACAUAUCCAACACGAAGUGGAUCAAAUGGCCCAACAAGCACUUGCAUUUGAAGGACCCUAUGAACAGCAAAGACAUGAUCCAUACUAUAACACAUACAGUUCAGGUUGGAGAGACUAUCCAGACUUCAGUUAUGUAGAGGCUAACAACUACCAGGAUUAUCAAGGAUAUCAAGCCCAACCAGAAGCUCAAAGUUCCAAUCUUGAUGAGAUUAUGAAGACUUUGCAAAGUAUCCAACAGCAACAGGAUCAAUUGAACAAAUCAUUGAAUGCAACCAUGUUAGGAAGAAAGGAAGAGCUUCAAGAUGUAUGGGAUGAUGAUGAAAGUUGGCAAGUACAAGAACAAGUUGCUGAAGAAACCCAACCAGAAAACUGUUUGUCCCAACAAACUGGUCAAACAGAAACUGCUGAAAGUUUAGAUAUCAUUGAUUGUAUGAGCCAAGAAAAUUUUUAUGUAGAUCAAGAUGAUAUGCUAAAUAAUGAUUUUUGCAGGGAAGAGAACCAGAAAGAGCCAGAACUGAAAGACACUAACUGUUGCAUCCAACAGGUGGACUGUGAACACGCACAGAACAAAGGAGAGCCUAUCACACCUCUUCAAAUCAAUCUUGCGCAGUCAGAAGGAACUCCAACUGAACCACCUCAGCUUGGACCGCAGGACAGUCCUGCAACUCUUCUAGUUGCACCUCUUCAGCUUCCAUCGCAUGAAACUCCUUUCAUUCUUCCAUUCCAGAUCAAUCUUGCGCAAGAAGGAGUACCUGAAAUCCUCUCAGGCGCGUCCUUUUAGCUUCCCACACAAAUCAGUCUUCCACCUCAGUUAGGUCCUAUGCAGAAGGAGGAAACUGAAACUCCUUUCAUCCUUCCAAUGCAAACAGUCCAUGCCCAGGAGGGACAAAUGGUAGUCCAAUGGCCCAAACCAAAGGAGCAUGCAGAUCAAUGCCUUCCAAAACCUCCGGAUAAGUUAGAAUUUAUUUUGCUUGAACUUGAUGCCAAAUUGCAGCCACCCAUGGAGAAAUAUCAAUUGAAGUUGGAAGUGCUAAAAAAUACAAACAUGAGGGCUAGAGGCACACCUCAUUUAAAAGAGGAGAAGCUCAUCAUGUUACUUCAUGAGUACAUGGAGAAAGUAGGAUGGUUCAUGACCAAAUCAAAAGGAGCGCUACACUUUUUGCUCAAUGCAAUUGGGACUCUUUUCCCUUCCCCAAUUACUUGAGCCUUGAUCAAGAGGAUCGCACCAUGCACACCACACCCAGGGAAGUACUCAGUUUCCUUUGUUCUUUUAUGUUUCUUAUACAUUGAGGACAAUGCAUGAUUUCAGUGUGGGGGUGCAUAUCUCUAAAUUUUUACUUUUAAGUUUAUUUUCACUUUGAUCUUUUUUAAGUUUAUUUUCGCUUUAAUCUUUAGUUUGCUUGCAUUAGGCAAAAAUUUUUCAUUUUUGUUAUUUUUAUGCUUUCAAUAAAACACACACAACCACAACCUUCUUCUUCCUUUUUGUUUUGCUCUACUCAAACUGAUGAACAUGUUGGAUGAGUUUUUCUUGCCAUGACCCCAUUGAUGUGAUAACUCUUUAAACUUAUGUUGAAUCAAUUGCAGUGAGUUGUAUUCAUGUUUGAGAAUAUCCUUUUGAAUUGAAUCUUUGAGUUUGCCAUGGUGAAAAAUAUAUUGAUGACCCUCAAUUGAUUGAGAAUAAAUUGAAAAUUGUGUGAAUGAACUUAAUGUGACUUGAUUUAGCAAUUGGUGUUGAUUUGCCCAAAUCAUUGAGAGAAAGAAAAUUCAGCAAAGGCAAAGACCUCAAAAGCACAAAUUGAAAAUUGUUCUAAUGGUCAAAAGACUAUGAACAAGGCUAGUAGCCACUUGGAUAGGUGACCAACUAAAAAAUAUAAACCAUGACAUCAAAAAUAGGUUGGUGACCUUUCCAAGCAAGAUCUAAAGUGCAAAAGCCUGAAUAAAGUACUUCAAGGUAAGGGCAAGUCAAUCCAAAAGCUAGAAAAAGUCUUAACAAACUAAUGUGCAUGUCUCUCUUGAGGAAAACAAAUCCUAGCCAUGGUAAGCAAAGGGAAACAAGGAAAAGAGGUGAGUAAUCUUCAUGCAUAUAUUCUUCACUGCAAUGCUUCAAAAUAGGUGUCUAGAGUAAGAGCUUAAGUGGAAAUAAGGAUCUAGAGUAAGAAAGCUUAUUUGACUAUGUUUGUUUGCUUGAGGACAAAUAAAAGUCUAAGUGUGGGGGUAUUUGAUAGAGCAUAAUUUAGUCUAUUUUAUAUUAAUAUUAUUGAUAAAUAUUUACAUGAUUUCUGCUUAAUUUAGUGCUUUUAAUAUUAUUUUGCAGAAAAUGGUGUAAAAGGACACUUUGGAGAAAAUACCCCUAAAACUGCCUUAUUUGGAGCAAAAGAGAGCAAGCCUGCUAAGUUGAAAUCAAGUCAAGCUAAAUAUGGAAAGUUCUAAAUAAGGAAAGUGGCAAAGAAGGAAAGAACAUUCAGCCAAAGCCAUUUGAAAUUCGAAUUUCAAAUCAGCAAGUUGCCCUUUCCUUAUUCAAGAAGCCAUAUCUCAAGCUGCCAUAAUUGAAGAGCCAAAGAAGGAAAGUAUUUUGAAAUUCAAAUCUCCAAGAUUCACAUUCAGAUAUUGGAUUUCAAGAUCCCACUCAUUAAGGAAGCCAAAUCUCAAGAUCACAUGUUCCCCAUUUUAUGCCAUGCACAUUCAAGUUUCUAUAAAAGGCUCCACCUUCCUCUUUAGUGAAUGGGCACACUCCAAAAACGUGGGCAGCCUCUUGGACACACCUUGGGCAGUAUCUUGAAGAUCUUGGACAGCAAUUAAAAGACUAAAGAGCCCCCACUUGCAUGCUCCACGUUUUUGCCUUCACCCAUACACAAAGAAGGCACAUAACUCACCAAGGGCACUUUGGGAAGUCUCCAAAAGACUCAUGGAUACUAAAAAGGAAAUAGGCAGCCUCUCAACACCUAUUUAAAGGCCUCAAGAACACAAGAAGAGGCACAAUUCAACUCUCCAAAUUCGGCCAAGCAAGGGCAGCCACACUCCAAGGGGCUUCUCCCCUCAAUUUCGGUUCUUCUUUCUUCUUUUCUUUAAUUUUCUGUUUUGG